rnacentral:tRNA from 1 species
GCCGGGGUAGCUCAGUAGGUAGAGCACCGGACUGAAAAUCCGGGUGUCCACGGUUCGAUUCCGUGCCCCGGCA